rnacentral:tRNA from 1 species
GCCGGUGGUAGCUCAGUUGGCAGAGCACGAAGCUCUUAAUCUCAAGGUUGUGGGUUCAAGCUCCAUGUUGGGCG